AUUGAACGCUGGCGGCGUGCCUAACACAUGCAAGUCGAGCGGUAACAGGUGUAGCAAUACAUGCUGACGAGCGGCGAACGGGUGAGUAAUGCUUCGGAAUCUGCCCAAUGGUGGGGAAUAACCAGCCGAAAGGUUGGCUAAUACCGCAUCCGUCCUACGGGAGAAAGCAGGGGAUCGUAAGACCUUGCGCCGAUGGAUGAACCGAAGCCGGAUUAGCUAGUUGGUAGGGUAACGGCCUACCAAGGCGACGAUCCGUAGCUGGUCUGAGAGGACGACCAGCCACACUGGGACUGAGACACGGCCCAGACUCCUACGGGAGGCAGCAGUGGGGAAUAUUGGACAAUGGGGGAAACCCUGAUCCAGCGACGCCGCGUGUGUGAAGAAGGCCUGCGGGUUGUAAAGCACUUUUAGUGGGGAUGAAAAGCUCAGGGCUAAUACCUCUGGGUCUUGACCUAACCCACAGAAAAAGCACCGGCUAACUCUGUGCCAGCAGCCGCCGUAACAC
rnacentral:rRNA from 1 species